UACAGAGGAUGCAAGCGUUAUCCGGAAUGAUUGGGCGUAAAGCGUCUGUAGGUGGCUUUUUAAGUCCGCCGUCAAAUCCCAGGGCUCAACUCUGGACAGGCGGUGGAAACUACCAAGCUGGAGUACGGUAGGGGCAGAGGGAAUUUCCGGUGGAGCGGUGAAAUGCGUAGAGAUCGGAAAGAACAUCGGUGGCGAAGGCGGCCUGCUGGGCUCUUGCUGACACUGAUGCGCGACAGCGUGGGGAGCAAACAGG
rnacentral:rRNA from 1 species